rnacentral:lncRNA from 1 species
GCAGGACCCCAGGGUGUGGGACAUGGGGUGAUGGGGACCCUUAAAGUGGGGCAGUGGGGUAUGGGGCAGCUGGGACCCUAUGGGAGGGGACCAAGGGACAGUGACAUUGUGGUGUCCAGGAUGCCACAGUGUGGGAUAUGGGGUCUUUGGAGACCCGUGGGUGCCCAGCAUGGGACAAGGGAGGACAAAGGUGCCACAUGGGAUGGUGACAUGUGGGUGGCAGGACCCCAGGGUGUAGGACAUGGGGUGGUGGGGACCCUUAAAGUGGGGCAGUGAGGUAUGGGGCUGCUGGGACGCUAUGGGAUGGGACUGAGGGACAGUGACAUUGUGGUGCCCAGGAUGCCACGGUGUGGGAUAUGGGGUCUUUGGAGACCCGUGGGUGCCCAGCAUGGGACAAGGGAGGACAAAGGUGCCACAUGGGAUGGUGACAUCUGGGUGGCAGGACCCCAGGGUGUGGGACAUGGGGUGGUGGGGACCCUUAAAGUGGG